ACGCCCACGCGCAAAAGAAUUUCAGGCGAACAGCCCAAUCCCCUUUCCUCACCCCUCGCUAGGUUUCCUCCACGCCGCCGCCGGUCCCUUGUGCGCAGCUCCCUCCGCCGGUCCCUCCUCCUCCGCUGCUCCUCCCGUUGCCGUGACCCGCCCCCGCCCCCGCCCCGGUCUCCAGCAGCAGCAACAGGCCCGCCCGGCACUCUACUCCGGCGGACGCCGCCAAACUCUCUUCUCCAAAAUUUCAUCUCCCCCCUCCCGAUCUAGCCAGACGGUCACGCGCACCGGCACGCCAGGGAUGAUGGAGCCCGCCUCCCGCAAGCGCCGCGCCUCCUCGCCUCCGCCGUCGGGCCCCGUCACGCUGCCGCCGCCCGGCUUCGUGGCGGACAGGGAGGAGGCGGCGGCCCGCGUGGAGCGGCUUCUCCAGUACCAGUUCAACAACCGCUCCCUGCUCGAGGAGGCGCUCACCCACCAGUCCUUCGCCGGCGGCGCAGCAGGCUCGUACCAGAGGCUCGAGUUCGUCGGGGACGCGGCGCUCGGCCUUGCCUUCUCCAACUUCCUCUACCUCACCAACCCCACCGUCGGCCCCGGGGCGCUCUCCACGCUCCGGGCCGCCAACAUCUCCACCGAGAAGCUGGCCCGCGUCGCCGUGCGCCACGACCUCUACCCGCUGCUCCGACGCAACUGCCCUCGCCUCGAUCUCUUGGUAGGACAGUUUAUCCAGUCAGUGAAACAAGAGUUAGAGGAUGACCUUGGCACUACGCCCUAUGGUGGCACUGUAUUUAAGGCUCCCAAGGUGCUUGCUGAUAUAGUUGAGGCCAUUGCCGCUGCUGUCUAUGUGGAUUGCAACUUUGAUCUUGAGAAGCUCUGGAAGGUAACAAGGUUCCUCUUUGAGCCCAUUGUCACGGCAGAAACAAUAGACGAGCAACCCGUGUCUACGUUGCAUGAACUGUGCCAGAAACAUGGGAAAGAUAUAAAAUUCAAGACUUGGCAGAAGGGUGGAACUGCGGUUGUAAAUGUAUUUGUUGGUGGGGCACUUGUUGGGAUGGGCUCCUCAGAGCAGAUGGUAAUCGCUAAGCUCAAUGCCACAAGGGAUGCAUUAAGCAAGCUUCUUGGUGGAGGCAAUCAGCAAGUGUUGACAACCGGAGUUGGCCAUGGAUCGGGGGUUGAGGUUGGAGAGCUUAGGGAAUGCAAGCAGAAGCUUAUUGAGCAGUGCAGCAGGAAGCAUUGGCCAAAACCCAUCUUUAAGUUAGAGAAGACAGAUGGGCCGGCACAUGAUAGGACAUUUGUUUACUCGGUUCAGGUAGAAACCCAAGGUGGUAUUUGGUUAACUUUAGGUGAACCGAUGUCAAGAGUAAAGGAUGCGGAGAAUUCUGGCGCGCAGAAGAUUUUGGAACAUCUAUUGAAAUUGGAUCCAUGCACUUGAAUACUGAUGCUACAUCCUGGUGGCGACUACUAGGAAGGAGAUCCUAGAAGCCCGCAUUGUGGUGGUGACUAUUAGCUUGUAGGUGGGAGAUGAGCUCAAGAGAAUAUAAGGAAACAGUGAUGAAGGGAGAGCCAAAGAGGUGAAUGAGGAUGAAGAAGAUGCACCGGGAUUUUCUGAUGCGGGUUCAUCCUGCCCACGCCGAUGAAAUCAUAUAGUUUGAAAAAGCGCUACCAUGAGUUUUUUGUCGCAAAAAAAGCAAUGGGACAGAAGUUAGCUUUCCUAUUUAUCUAUUCACUCCGAUGGUCGAGAUGCAGAUGUAUACUCAUGGUUAAUUCGCCAUACUUUUUAAAGCCAUGCACAUCGGUGUAGAAUUCAGUGUGAACUGAAAAUUUGUUUAUAAACUUGAAAUAGCAUGUCCAUCUCGAUAGUAACGACACGGGCUUCUUUUACAUAAAUAUCACGUAGAAAAUUGUAAGGAUGAGACAUAAAUUUCCACGUACAUAAAAUAAAAACAGAAAGUAACUAUGAAUAAAUAAGUUGAACUAACAAACUAUACAUAUACUAUGAUUAGGAGAUGGUAUAAUAUUUGCCACAACCAUGGGACUGAUAGCUAUAAAAAUUAAAUAUAUUUUUUGGAGAGCUUAGAUCGAAAGAACCUCAUCCGAACAAAUGUUUUUUUUACAUUGGUAUAGAUUUGCUUAUCUCGUCUGUUUAAGAAAUUCUCUGGUUUGUGGUUGUUGAACGGUGGUUUUUCAACAGUUGCUUUAUAAACACUCCAGGAAAAUGUUAGAUGACGGGAUUUUCUUCUGUUAACAAACAGCGAAAUUGGCAACCCGAGUUAUCACAACCCACUCAGGUCAUUUUCGAUUCAGUGAUUCACACAAUAAUAAGCAAAAUCUAGGCCUUGGUUCGUGGUCAAUGAACUAUGUCGUGACGAGCUAUGUUUUUGAUAUAUGGAAACAUAGCCACACUUUAGGACAGUAAAACUGAGCAGCUUUCCAACCAUGUAAUGCCUUGCGCGUUUCUGGCCAUCCAUUUUUUGUGACUUGGGCAACCUUGAGUCCUUGACCGUUAGUCUGUUGUCUACUCCGGCUUUCACAAUUUGAAGCCCUAUGGUAAAGUAGGAUAGGGAUUGGGAGAGGGAGAGGGAGAGGGAGAGGGAGAGGGAGAUGUAGGCCGACACCAUGGCUGUUCGGCUGAGCACAACUGCUCUGCUGGGAUUUGAAGAAGCAAUCAUUCUUCAAUUUCUCUACGGGCAUUCAUGGCAGGUGAUGUGGCCAUCCUUCCACUGCCUCGGUACAUGUGAUGUUCAUACUGGUUGUGGUCAAUUUAUUUGGGAGAUCUUGGAGGCUGGUACUCCCAUUUUCUUACUUCGGAAAUUCUUCAACUGAUAAUUUCGGAUGGCCUCUGGACAGGUAAUUACUUCAAGUGUACUGCCAGAUCUUAUCCUUCCUUGUUUUACCAUCGAUGUUUUUACAGCGCAUGAUUGCUUAGAUUAUAUAUUUUGUUGACCCCUGGAUGGGAGACGAAUCUGUGUGCUUGUCAUUAUUUAGUAUAAUUUCAGAUUAUAAUGAAUUUGUCUGUGCUUGGUAUUGUCGAAGCAGAUUUCUUGGACUUCUCAUUAGAAGUACAUAAUUAGAAUUUAAAGUCUUGGAUUCAGUCAUAGUCAAGUGUGUCUGGUCAACUUGAAUGAUUCUUGGCAUAAGCUAUGCUUAGCUAAAGGGGGUGUUUACUGUUUACUUUAUGUAUUUAUUUAGUUCUAUUUUACAGAAUAGCCACAUGAGAUAUUCCUGGAAAUUUAUAUUGGUGUGAAUUGGUUAUGUGGUAUUUGUAUACACAAGUUGUGCAUACAUGGUGUUGUUUUUGUACUACAAAGGAGAAAGUUGAUCACCUAUUUUUUUUAUGGCGGCAACCUAAUAUGGCGGUCAAUUUUGGAAAUAAGAAAUACUGCUUCUCUUGAAAAGGCAUCUUUUAUCUUCCUAAUCAGUUUUGUGUUCCCUACUUUGCUAUAGAUUUGUUUUUGGUCCCUAUUGCAGAAUAGUGGAGGGGGAGCAGGCUCUGGAAGCUCAUGUAUUUGGUUCGGGUUAAAGUUUUGAGCAUCCAAGAGGUUGAGAAGCUGCUACAUACGUGCUAAUUAGCUCAUGCUGUGUGCUGAUUAACCUGAUGCGUUUUAGAUGUUAAGCUUUUGCUGUGGCCCAAGCUUAUCUUUGAGCUUUCUGCUUUUGCAUGACUUUAAAAUCUUGGUGGAGGCUACUCCUAUUGAUAAAUUAGUGGGAAUUUAGGUUUAUCUGGCGUUCCAAAAGUAUGUCCUCAAUGCAUAAAUUUAAUUUUUUAGUGAAUGAUUGCUAUAUCGACACACAUGCAUAAUUUUUACUUAUGAUGACUUCCCUUCUGUCCAUGCUUACCCUGUAUACAACCUUCUGUCCAUGCUUACGUUGUAUACAAAUACAAUUAUGUUAACGGCUUAGGUAUCCCCAUAAAUAUUGUUUUCUUCUGUCCAUAAUAUUUAUUUUCUCAUGAUUUUAUUUCAUUGUUGGUAUGAUCCCUAGCAUUUUAUAUGGCGAUCCUCAAUGAAUUUUCUUGAGGAUAUUUUAUAACCGAGCUCAUUUAACUUUUUUUCUUUUCUGAUUUGAUGUCUUGUCCUUCUAUUCUUCUUCCUUCAUGAUCAGGUCUAUUUGGAAAGCCUGAUUACUGAUGUAUUACUUGAAGGCAAAGAAGUCUUUAAGAAUGUAAUUCAUGUAUAUAUUUGCACUAAUAACCUCUCAAACUGUGGAAUAUAAUAAUAAAUGUCUGAAAUUUUGCAGAAAUAGUGAUUUUUCACUGAGAUGGUUAAAACACCAUGCACAAAUGAUAGAGCAUAAAUGAGCCUCAGGUGAACCUGUCCGGUCUGGCACGUCAAGGACACUUGUAUACCAGCUUCCCACCAUCGUUGUUAUCGCCAACAAUAUGAAGUGUUUAAGUUGCUGCACAUGGCGCUUAUUGCAGACCCAGUUUUUAAUGUGGGUAUCACCAAUAUACACCAUCCACACCCCGUUAUGAAAUGCAACGUCCAGAGUCGGUCGAUGGAUUAAGAAGCCUCAUCCUUGGAACUCCAAGAUGAAGAAGGUGGCACUGAAAUGUAACAGUUGUGAUGAGCAUUUGCAAGAUUAGGGUGGCGCAUGCCUGAGAUUAAGAAGCUAUUUCGCUGAGACAGUGAGAUGGCCCCUAAUUAUUUUCUUCUUCUUCUUGAGAUGAUGGCUCCUAAUUAGCAGCUAGCUACAGAUAUGCGCAAAGGAGACAGGGAAAGAAAGGUACAUGUUGAUGAAGAUGCCGCUGAAAUUUGACAGUUGUGAUGAGCAUUUGCUACAUAUUAAGAAUCUUUGUCGCUGUGACGGCAUGUUUGUUGAUGGACGGAUGGAUACCAUUUCUAUAUAUCGUGUGUGACAUUCCCAUGUCAUUAUGAAUCCAUUAUGGUACUUUUA